UACGGUGGGGGCAAGCGUUGUUCGGAAUUACUGGGCGUAAAGGGCUCGUAGGCGGCCAACUAAGUCAGACGUGAAAUCCCUCGGCUUAACCGGGGAACUGCGUCUGAUACUGGAUGGCUUGAGUUUGGGAGAGGGAUGCGGAAUUCCAGGUGUAGCGGUGAAAUGCGUAGAUAUCUGGAGGAACACCGGUGGCGAAGGCGGAUCUCUGGGCCUUGCCUGACGCUGAGGCGCGAAAGCUAGGGGAGCGAACAGG
rnacentral:rRNA from 1 species